UUCACUUCUCGGCCUUUUGGCUAAGAUCAAGUGUAGUAUCUGUUCUUAUCAGUUUAAUAUAUGCAAGACUAAGCAGAAGCUAGUAACCUGAAGGCAAUGGGAACAAAGCAGGUUUGAACAAGAUGGCUUGAACAACUGAUUGCAAGUCACAUAAUUUGGGGGUUUUUCUAACACACUAGAAUGCUUAACCCUUU